GAUUAUUGGGCGUAAGCGCGCGCAGGUGGUUUCUUAAGUCUGAUGUGAAAGCCCACGGCCCAUCCGUGGAGGGUCAUUGGAAACUGGGAGACUUGAGUGCACAUUAGGAAAGUGGAAUUCCAUGUGUAGCGGUGAAAUGCGUAGAGAUAUGGAGGAACACCAGUGGCGAAGGCGACUUUCCCGUCUGUAACUGACACUGAGGCGCGAAAGCGUGGGGAGCAAACAGGAUUAGAUACCCUGGUAGUCCACGCCGUAAACGAUGAGUGCUAAGUGUUAGAGGGUUUCCGCCCUUUCGUGCUGAAGUUAACGCAUUAAGCACUCCGCCUGGGGAGUACGGGCGCAAGGCUGAAACUCAAAGGAAUUGAAGGGGGCCCG
rnacentral:rRNA from 1 species